rnacentral:lncRNA from 1 species
UGGAAAAGCUGGGACCCUUAUAUACUGCUUCUGGGGUUCUGAAAAGGUGUAAUCUCCACAAAUGACAGUAUGGGGAUCCCUCAAAAAAUUAAAAGUACAAUUAUCAUAAGAUUCAUCAAUCCUACUUAUAUACUUACUAAAAAGAUUUGGGUUCAGAUCAUAAUGACACUUUUUACUGUAGGCUUAGAUUUUUCAAAACAUGCUUUAAUGAGGGUUCUCAAAUGCUUCGACCUCCCUUCUAGCCCACUGUCCAAAGGUAGAGGAGAAAAGAUAGUAAUUAGGACAAGGGGAUGUGGACCUGUUUAGAAGUAGUUCUUUGGGGCAAUUGCAAUCUCUAUUGUCAGGAUAUGAGCAGUUCAGACCAGUAGUGUCAGGAUACCAAACAUGAAUCAUCAGUGGUGGCUUGAUCCAGUGGAAACCACCAGUUCUCCACCAAGUUGGCAGUGGGAGUAACCAGCAUCAGCUGGGUCAUAAAAAAGUUCUCUGCCAUGCCUCUCUCAAGAGAGCAAAUACUCGAGACCAAUAAAGCAUUACAAAUCUAGCUAUGCAAUUGCACUGUCACUGUUGAAUCCUACUUAUACUCUCUACAAACAUCACAUGUCCUCUCACGGGUCUUGCUUCAGCAAAACUGCAUGAAUGCAUCACAUGACAUGACUAGAAAUUUCCACUCCAUUUUAUACCCUUAUUUUUCUGCCUUAUUCAUAAUAACCAGGAGGUGGAAAGAUGAGCCAAAUGUUCAUCAGUAAAUGAAGAUCUGAACAAAACAUGAUAUAUAUACAUGAAAGUAUAUUAUUUGACUAUAAAAAGUGAUAUAUGACAAAUGUUACAACAUGGAUGAAGACAUUUCCCUAAGUGAAAUAAUCAAACUACUACUAAAGAGUAAUUCAAAUGAUAAAUUUAAAGUUAUAUGUAUUUUAUGAUAAGUAAAGAUGAAGAGGCAUACAUGAGGCAAAGAAGCAAGCAAUCUUUUUGGUUUGAAAAUGCCUUGUUAUGGGAGAUGGGAAUAGCCAGCCACUUUUAGAUUUAAGGUCCAUUCCACAAGAUGUUAACUUAUACCUGAUACUGUUAAAUGGCUAAGAAUCCGAGACUAGUUAGGUGACAGGCUUAGGGGAAAAACAAUACUAUUAUUUUGCUAAAGGAACAUAGCAAUAAAAUGACUCCAAAUGACACACUGCUAUACCUACAGAUCAUUGCAUCACUCACCCCUCAUCAGAGAAGCUUCUCCUUGCAGUAAAUGGGAAUUAACAGAGACCCACAACUGGACAACAUGCAGAGAGUGAGAGACUUUGGAGCACUCAGUUCUAAAUGGGAUGUCUUCAUUAAAACCCACUUUUCAAGUCUCAAGGAUCUAUGUGGAAAAGGAGGCAGAAAUAUUGUAAGAACCAGAGGUAAUGGAUGACUCCAAAUAAACCUUGUAUUUUUCCAGGCAUAAUAGGACUGAAACACAUAUGAACUUUGAGAGAUUGUGGAAACACACAAGAGGCCUGCACAGGUUCAAUCCAGACAGCACCCAGCUCCGGGAGGAUCCCAGCACUGGGAUGGGGAAGGGUUAUACUAGAUACAAGAUCUCAUACCUAUGCAAGAAAACUAUUUGGAACUGAUAUCUGCUAAGAAAGGAAAAAUCUGUUUUUUUUUUCAAUGCAGUGUCACUAGGUAUAUUGAGAACCAAGGAGAGCAUAUCCAGAGAAGCCUAUGUGCCACAAUCUACAAGAGAAUAUCUGGAGAUGGGGCAUUAAACCCUGAGCCUCUGGCUGUGCAAUCUUCACAGACCACAGAACUUCAACAUCAGAAAGGCAAUGCAUUUUCCCAGGCUCCUUUGUCAGGAGACCCACUUCCAACUGUCUUUACUGCUAGUCCAAAAAAGAUGCAAACCUAUUUCCAGGUGAGCUAGAGAACAGAAAUAAAAAUAAGUCUGUGUUUGGCAACACGGAGAAAGAGGCCACAUUGAUGGUUUUUCUCACUUAGUUGUUCAUUCAAGUAAAUUGUAUUGAACAUCCAGUGAACUUAAACAAAUUUUCAUAUUUUCUAGUUUCCUGAGCUCAAGUUGCUCUUUAAAUAUUCAACAUUCUAAAUUAGCUCCUCAAAACUAUAAUGACUGGCUCUCUCUCCUCUCCUCUUAAACUGCACAAGCAUCUUAGAAAAAUUUGCUAUUGUUUUACAGUUAUUGUAUCUUAUUUCUCUUCUCCAUGAAUCAAAAAUUUCAUUAUUACUCAUGCUAUAUAGUCACUGCUUAUCUAAAAUAAUCCACCUUCAUUUUGCCAUCUUCUUGCAUGUUAGUAUUCCCAAGAAUAAUUUUCCCAUCAUACAAUCUUAGACAUCCAUUAAACAAUGGCUUCUGUUAAAGAGUACCAUUCUUUGAGCCAAACAGCUGCCACUUUCACUAGCUCAGCUGUGCCAGCUUGCAAGAGACUAUUGCCAUCAAGAACCUGUUGACCACUGAUGUUCCCUAACAGUAGGAGGGUAUAGGGAGAGCCAUUGGAUCCUCUCUGGAAUAUUAGCCAUGUUUUCCAGACACUUGUACACAAUUCUGCUCUAAUUGCACAUGGUCUUGGAAUCUUUGGAGGUUCUAUAGGAUAGGAAAGGUUAACUGAUGAGAUUCUAUAUGACUAGGGGGAAUCCAUCAUUUAUCCUGGGCAAAAUUUUCUAGUACAUUAGCUUCUGUGGUGUCCGUGCUCCUAUAAGUAACUUCAAUUAGUUCUCCAGGGUGAAGCUUGGUGUAAUUGUACUUUGGUUUGUUGUUGAAUGGAGUUAUGUAACCACUUUGUGGACUCAGUUCUUUCCUCCCACCUUUAAGUGACUUCUGGGAAUCUAAUAAGUUGCAAGUCUUGCUGGCAAUCACAUUUACCAGAAAGCCAUCCUAAUAUGCUUAUUUAUUCAAAAAUUUCAUGUAUGAAGUGUUACAUCCUAACAAAAACUUCAAAAGUAUAAUUUUGCAGUGGCUAUGAAGCUAACAUAAAGUUAUAUACCACACGAGUCUACAUAGAGUAUUUUUAGCAAUGCAGAGCCUCCCAUAUGAAGUAUAAUCAACUUCUAUGAUAAAGGAAGAUGUAUGAUAAUUAUUUUUCUUUGUUUUACUACCCUUUAAAACAUUUAGUAAUAAUUUUUAUUCCAUUUGACAUUAAUCAAUCAUUUACCCUUUCAGUGCUGAGGUUCUUACCCAGGGUUGUGCAUGUUAGACAUGCACUCUAGCUCUGAUCAACUCUCUACCAGCCUGAGCUGAAAAUUUUUAUCCAGUUUUAAUUUUCAAAGAAAAUUUGUCUACAUGUUUUCUUGAAGUUAUUUUUGUUGUUGUUCUGGUAUUUUUUUGAGACACAAUUUUAUGUAGCUCAGGUUGGCCUUAAACUCACUGUGUAACCAAGGCUGGCUUUUGAACUCCAGAUCCUCUUGUUACCACUCCCCAAAUGCUGGGAUGGUUAAAACUCAACUGUAUUGAGCUUUGACAAAUGCCUAAGUUGUGUGUCUACUAAUACAAUUAUGGUGUUAAGCUUUUCUCUGUUCUCAGAAAGCUCCCUAUUCUAUUUCCUAUUCAGUCUUUUUCUCAUCCUAGGUAGCCAUUAUUCUGGUUUCAUAAAUUGUUCUUCAUUUUCUAGAAUGUUCUAUAAUUAAAAUAAAAU